CACAGUUCUGAGGUGUAAGCAGAUUCAAACUGGAGUCAAAACAGCCCUUAGCUGAUCUAGCAUGAUUAAUUUUGAGUAAUUUUGGAAGACAUUGAAGACUGUAUAAAACUAGUAAUAUUUCGCAGAAAAUAAUGAUGCGAAUUCUUACAUCUGCUGGCAAGACACUUGAAAAAUAUUUUUCUGCAUCUUUUGGAAAAAAAGCAGUCAAACGAAGAAUUUUGUGGCUGGAGAGGAAGGACUUCAAAGAAGAGGUUCUGACAGCAUCUUCUUUUUAGGACCUGAACCGAUGAAUACUGAAACACAAAGAAGGGUUGAAUUGAUCAGGAUAUGGUAUGUAGGGGCUUCCAAUGCAAAGCAAUUUUUAUCAGUAGAAGAUUUUUCUUCUCAAUUUUUUGCCUUUAAUGUUUGUAAUGUAAUGUUUGUAAUGUUUUUUGCCUUCAAUGUCUGUCUGGAAUGAAGAUGCAAAAUUAACUUUCCUCAUGGUAGCUUGUGUGGUGCUGUGCUUUGCAUUUGUGGCUGAAGCAGUGUUGAUAAUACACCAGUAUUUGGCUACUGGUGGAGAGCUUAAUGUCCAGGCUUUCCAUUCUCUGUUCAGCCCAGACAGGAACAGGCUGGAUGUGAGAAAUGGCUGAGACAGGCCACAGUCAGAACAGCUGACACAAGCUGACCAAAGGGGCAUUCUAUACCAUUUUGCAUCAUGCCCAACUAUAAAGGUGAAGAAAGUGGGGUAUUGGUUGUGGUGUUUCUCUUCCUAUUUUGUGUGCUGAGGUGCUGGUCUCCUGGAAUUGGGCGAACAUCUGCCUGUCAAUGGAAAGUAAUUAAUUAAUUUCUCUUUA